rnacentral:lncRNA from 1 species
GCGCGGCCCUUGGCGCUGGCAGCGCGGGUGCGGUGGUGAGCACCUGCCUCAGGGCAGGGCCCGGCCCAGGAGCUCUGCUCCGGCUGCCCCGGCGGCGGCAGCGGCGGCAACGGACAGAGCCGAGGGGAGUAUUUGGAAGCUCUAUCUCCGAACGUAAAUGAGACCACCACAGCUAUGUCUACACUGUAAUGGAACAAAAAGUCCUUUGGACCAGAAGUUAAGCAUGGUAUAAUCUGUACCCACUCCCCCCGGCCCUACCCACUCCAGAUACAUGAUGGCAGCAAGGACCACCAACAGACUGCUUGUGCGCAUUAGCAUGCUGGUGCACUAAUCUUCCAAACUCACUCAGAAAGUACAGAUCUUCAAAUACAAGCACAAGUAAUGAGAAUACGACAACAACAAAACAACAACAACAAAAGGCCUCUGAACUCAGCUGAAAAAGGAGGCUGCUGACUCCCCAUCAACAAGAUGGUGUUGAUCAGCUUGCCUUUCUGCGAGGCAGCUGCUCACAGCUUCUGCUAAGCUGUGCACUCAGAAUGGGACAAGAGAAGAUGAAGCGGAAGAGACGAGAUACGGCUGCUGGGGUAGGAGUCUGGGAACAGGGAAUAUUGCAGUUCAUAUUAGAGUGGGGAGGGAGAUAAGGAAGGAAAAUGCAACUAAACAAUUGAUUUGUGACUCACUGACACUGUGUAUUUUGCCUGUUCUUGGCCUGUGCAAGUGAUGAUCUCUGUCUUUUGGUCUUCUUCCACAUACUCCCACUGCUGUCUAAGCUUUCCCAUGUGUCAGAAUGACCCAGAUGUUUCUCCUCCACCAACUGUCUUCCAAAUUAACUGAGCUACUCUUAUGAUUAACAGGCAAGAGGUACACGAACAGUGUGCAUUUUCAGUAAUGAAUUCUGCAGCUCGCUGAAAACUAAAAGCUGAACCCAAGACAUUAAUAAAAAU